rnacentral:rRNA from 1 species
GCGAAUUCCAAGCUUGAAACCGUGAUAAGGGGACACCGAGUGCCAGCAUCAUAUGCUGGCUGUCCNGAUGUGUAAAAUACAUCUGUUAGCAAGGGCCGGGCAAGACCGGUGCCAGCCGCCGCGGUAACACCGGCGGCCCGAGUGGUGAUCGUGAUUAUUGGGUCUAAAGGGUNCGUAGCCGGUUUGGUCAGUCCUCCGGGAAAUCUGANAGCUCAACUGUUAGGCUUUCGGGGGAUACUGCCAGACUUGGAACCGGGAGAGGUAAGAGGUACUACAGGGGUAGGAGUGAAAUCUUGUAAUCCCUGUGGGACCACCUGUGGCGAAGGCGUCUUACCAGAACGGGUUCGACGGUGAGGGACGAAAGCUGGGGGCACGAACCGGAUUAGAUACCCGGGUAGUCCCAGCCGUAAACGAUGCUCG